AAUUAAGGAUGUCAGCUGCUGAAAUUCACAGAAGACAGAAUAUAGUGAGAGCCACAUGGGCUGAAACAAUGAUCCAGGAAAAUCAAUUAAUUUCAGAAUUGAUAUCUUCUCUCAAAUGAAGAAUUUUUGUGGUAAGAAGUAGUGUAAAGAACGACUAAUGGAAAGCAAAGGUCCAGAGAGAUUGAGACAGACUUUCAGGAAAUACUUCUCUUUUUUGUAUCUGAAUAUAUGGAGAGGCUUCUUGCUACUUCAAAGUCUGAGUAUUUAGAAAAAGGCUUGGAAAGUCUGUAGUGUAAAGAGGAAUUGUAAAUGUAAUUGAAGUCCUUGAAAAAGGCAAGACAAACCCAAAGUGAAGUUUGUGGGCACGUUCCUCAUGAAUCUGCAGUGCACUGAGUUCCCCAGGGCUGCUCAGGUG